UUUCGCAAUGCCCGAAAGGGUGACGAAGCGACGCCGCGUGUGGGAAGAAGGCCUUCGGGUUGUAAACCACUGUCGGGAGUUAAGAAAUGCAAGGAUAUGAAUAGUGUCUUUGCUUGACUAAGGCUCCGGAGGAAGCCACGGCUAACUCUGUGCCAGCAGCCGCGGUAAUACAGAGGCGGCAAGCGUUGUUCGGAAUUAUUGGGCGUAAAGAGCACGUAGGCGGCUAUGUAAGUCGGUUGUGAAAGCCUUCCGCUCAACGGGAGAACAGCAUCCGAUACUACAUGGCUUGAGUGCGGGAGGGGAGAGUGGAACUUCUGGUGGAGCGGUGAAAUGCGUAGAUAUCAGAAGGAACGCCGGCGGCGAAAGCGGCUCUCUGGCCCAUAACUGACGCUGAGUGUGCGAAAGCUAGGGGAGCAAACGGGAUUAGAUACCCCGGUAGUCCUAGCCGUAAACGAUGGGCACUAAGUAGAGGGGUUUU
rnacentral:rRNA from 3 species